rnacentral:lncRNA from 10 species
AUGGGAAAAACUAGAAAGAAAAAGCUUGAGAAAUCGUCAAAAUUGUGGCAACACAGUCUCACUUUUCAGUUGUUUAGGAUUAAAGGAUACAUUAGUGGAGUUUGAGACCAGCCUGGACAACAUAGCGAGACUCCCCAUCUCUACAAAAAAUAAAAAGCUGGACGUGGUGGUGUGCACCUUGUAGUCCCAACUACAUGGGAUGCUGAGGCAGGAGGGAUCGCUUGAGCCUAGGAGUUUGUGGCUGCAGUGAGCUAUGAUAGCCACUGCACUCCAAUCCUGGUUAGCUGAGCGAGACCCUAUCUCUAUUUAAAACACACACACACACACACACACAC